UCGAACGAGAAAGGGAUUGCUUGCAAUCCUGAGUAGAGUGGCGCACGGGUGAGUAACACGUAGAUAAUCUACCUUCGAUUUUGGGAUAACCAUCCGAAAGGAUGGCUAAUACCGGAUAAGGUUUUAAUACGCGAGUAUAAAGAUGAAAGUAUGCCUCUGCUUGCAAGCAUAUGAUUGGAGAUGAGUCUGCGGACCAUUAGCUAGUUGGUAGGGUAAAGGCCUACCAAGGCUACGAUGGUUAGCUGGUCUGAGAGGAUGAUCAGCCACACUGGAACUGGAACACGGUCCAGACUCCUACGGGAGGCAGCAGUGAGGAAUUUUGCGCAAUGGGGUAACCCCUGACGCAGCAACGCCGCGUGAGUGAAGAAGGCCUUUGGGUCGUAAAGCUCUGUCAACUGGGAAGAAGUUACAACGAUCUAAUAGGUAGUUGUAUUGACGGUACCAGU
rnacentral:rRNA from 1 species